AAUGGAUUCUGCCCCCAAGCUGAUUUUCAUACCCUCCCUUGGUCAUGAGCCUCCUAAUGAGCUGUUUCAGCCUGUAAUAUAGACUCAGUAACGAAUACCUCCAAGCUGAUUUUCAUAUUCUUCCUUAGUCCUGAGUUUUGAUGUUCGAUGUUUUUUAUAUGAAAGAUAUAGACCUUAAUGGAUGCCCUGCAAGCUGACAUUAUACAGCCUCACUUGCACCUCAACCUUGCGAUCCAGCCUCUGUGUUCGUAGACUAGACAACGUAAUGGAUUCCUCCAUGUUUAUUUACUAAUUCUUCCUUGGUCCUGAGCUUCAUGAUGAACUCAUUGGGUUCAAGAUGUAGAUACCAUGAUGGAUACCCUCAAUGUGAAUUGUACCUUGUCCACUGGUCCUGUGCUCUGUGAUCAAUCAACACUUUGCGUUCAUAAUAUAUGCACAGCG